UACGGGGGGGGGCAAGCGUUGUUCGGAAUUACUGGGCGUAAAGCGUGCGUAGGCGGUUCGUUAAGUCAGCUGUGAAAGCCCCGGGCUCAACCUGGGAACUGCGGUUGAAACUGGCGAACUAGAAUCUGGCAGAGGGGGGUGGAAUUCCACGUGUAGCAGUGAAAUGCGUAGAGAUGUGGAGGAACACCGAUGGCGAAGGCAGCCCCCUGGGUUAACACUGACGCUCAGGCACGAAAGCGUGGGGAGCAAACAGG
rnacentral:rRNA from 1 species